AACGAACGCUGGCGGCAGGCUUAACACAUGCAAGUCGAGCGCCCCGCAAGGGGAGCGGCAGACGGGUGAGUAACGCGUGGGAAUCUACCUAGCUCUACGGAAUAACCCAGGGAAACUUGGACUAAUACCGUAUACGUCCUUCGGGAGAAAGAUUUAUCGGAGUUAGAUGAGCCCGCGUUGGAUUAGCUAGUUGGUGGGGUAAUGGCCUACCAAGGCGACGAUCCAUAGCUGGUCUGAGAGGAUGAUCAGCCACACUGGGACUGAGACACGGCCCAGACUCCUACGGGAGGCAGCAGUGGGGAAUAUUGGACAAUGGGCGCAAGCCUGAUCCAGCCAUGCCGCGUGAGUGAUGACGGCCCUAGGGUUGUAAAGCUCUUUCAUCGGUGAAGAUAAUGACGGUAACCGGAGAAGAAGCCCCGGCUAACUUCGUGCCAGCCGCCGCAGUAAUAC
rnacentral:rRNA from 1 species